rnacentral:rRNA from 1 species
UACGUAGGGUGCAAGCGUUGUCCGGAAUUAUUGGGCGUAAAGAGCUCGUAGGCGGUCUGUCACGUCGGGCGUGAAAAUCCAGGGCUUAACCCUGGACCUGCGUUCGAUACGGGCAGACUAGAGUUCGGUAGGGGAGACUGGAAUUCCUGGUGUAGCGGUGAAAUGCGCAGAUAUCAGGAGGAACACCGGUGGCGAAGGCGGGUCUCUGGGCCGACACUGACGCUGAGGCGCGAAAGCUAGGGUAGCAAACGGG